CUAGCAGUGACUUUUCCUAACAAAGUUUGAUUGCAAAAAUUAUGUUAAAUAGGAAAUAUUUGCUACUAUAAACUGUUUUACGUCUUCAAGUAAAGAUUUUUUACACCACAAAUUGUAUAGUUCUACUUUAAGAGUUAAAAUGAUAAAGAAGAGCAAUUUCUUCGCUGUUGUAAUUUAAAACCCAAACUUUGUGGUGCUUAUUUUGGUAGCGUUCUGUAUUAUUAAAACCUUCAUUUGAAAAAUGCAAAGAUAGAAACGACUUAAUUAAAAGUCAUUAUUCAGAUCCUUUAUAAUCGGUAUUUAGGCGCAAGCACCUAAACAAACUGCAGGCUUUUGUUCGCUUGUGUACAAGCUCUCAAAAGACGAUUUAUACUAUUCAAAUGCAUUCGGCCAACGUUCAGUUGCGAUUACGACGUAAAUCCAAAGCUGUCACUGUUGCUUUGACGAUGGAAAUUGAUUAGGCUUGGAUUUUAUCGCUCUCUCAUUUCUCUUUCUUCUGAUACUCUACAGGAUUCAAAAUUUCACUAUUAAUAGAAAUUGGCGUCCUCACUAGUUUAGUAAUAGGUAAAUAUCUUCUCUCCUUACUUCCUCUUAACUAAAACCUUACUAGGUUUGAGUUAUUUAAAAAAAUGCCAAUUUUUAGGCAAAGUUUUUCAAAGAAGUUUUGCUAUUCUAAUAAUUUUACUUUUCAAAUAAAAACCUAAUAAUAAUACUUUGCAACUGUAAAGUUUCUAAAUACAUAUUGCUUUGAAAUUGAUACUGCAAGCUGAAUUAUAAUUGUCAAAAUUUUCAGACCUAAAAAACAACUUGUCGAUAUCAAUUAUAAACGGAACGUAAACCUUUUGUCUGUGUUUGAUUAAAUGUUUUCAGACGUUUAAUCUGAUUAAAGAUUUACAACAUUGGUUGGAAAUGACACUUUGACGACGCUAUGGGAGAUGGUCAAGACAAAGUUAAAACGGAUAACUCAAGGAAACAAUGGACUAAGUUACCUAGUGUCAAUAAAGUGAGCUUCUUGAUAAACCCUAGCUUUGACUCAGCAAAGCUUAAGAGAUUGCAAAGAAAUAGCUAUGACCAGAGAACUUUUAAAGGUGGACUACCUGAUCCAAAAAAGAAAUCACAAGUGUCUGUUAUUAGUGCUGGCCAAACAGCAAAGAACACUGCUGGACACAAAUACACAGCAUAUGAUAUUGAUACAAGUGACAGGGAGCAGUUAUCUCAAUCUCUUCCUGACAAUAAUACUCAAGAACGUACGUUUUCAGUUCUCAUAAAAUUUAUUUAAUUUCAUUUUUAUUAUAGCUGUUGAUGCACCAAGACUAGCAAUAUCGGCUCCAAAAGAAAGACUGUCGAAAAAGACAAAAGUUUUCGUUAAUGUUAAGCCUCGAAUUAACAAUCUAGUCAGUGGUCAAUAUAAUCCAGAAGAAAAAACUAAAGGAAGAAGUAUUACAAAAAAUGGAAUUGAAGACAAACAAAGAAAAUUUACUGAAACAGUUGCUCCGGAAAUGAGAUAUGAAACUCCUAAACCCCCUUUGUCCCAGUCAAAGGACAGUAAAAUGAAACCAGAAAAAGGAUUUGUUUUUCAUGCUAAAACUUCGCAUUCAACGGCUCCUACUGUCCCAGAAAAAGAAAAACCAAAAGUCGUUGUGAAGUUACCAAAGCCUAUGUCCAGGGAUGCUUCAAUUGUUAAGGAAGAAGAGUUUUCGCAAAAAGAUGCAAUUGAAAGAUCACAGACUAUGGUGUAUGAGCACAAAAAACGUAUUCCAACAGCGAGGUUGAAAACGGCUAUUAAGCGAUCAAAAACGCUGCUAAAUUUCAGAGAGUUUUGGAAACAAGUCGCUAUGAAAACCAAGAAAGAAAAUAAAAUUCUGCCAUACACAGCAACUGAUGCAGCUGACAUAUACUUGGCAGCAUUAGAAGCGGCUACGACUAAACUUAUGAGAGAAGAUGAAUCUAAUAAACAAGAUAUACUUCCUUAUGAAGACCCUUUGAGGACUGUCCCACCCUGGCACAGGAAGGAAUAUGUAUUAAAUGAGAGAGAGAUUGAUAUGUAUAAUCACCUAAAGGUAAUAUAUGGUGACAAGACAACGAUGUUGAAAAGAUGUCGUCAACAAGAGUUUUAUGAGAAGUUAGAAAAAUUACAACAGGAAGAGACUAAAAAAUAUAAUUCAUUACUUAAGGACAAGAAGAAACAAAGAGAGAAAUCAAAAUUAAAGCAGCAGCAACAAUUAAAAUUUGUUCGCAAUAAAUUUGAGGAAGAGCAAGUUAAUCGUUUUCGAAAUCAGUAUGUAACAACAAGAAUUUUACAGCAUGAAUGGACUACUAGACAUAUAUACGGUCUUCCUGAGGAUCUGGGAGAUGAUACUGCUACAUCUAGAGUUAAAAGAAAAGUGGAAAGAGCUAAGGAGAUACCAGAUGAUCUUAGGGAGCAAAAUAUUCGAAGAUUUAGAGGACUAUUCGAUGUUCAUUGUGGUUUGGCACUAGCAAAUAUGAAGCCACCAAAAUUUGGUAAAAAAUCAAAGAAGCUACCAACAGAUGAUGUUGUGAGAGACGCUAGGAAAAUGUUAGAUGAAACAAGCGAAGACGAGGAUUCAACAGACAAUGAGGACGAAUCAUAUUCUAACGGGGCUGAUAACAAACUUACAGCAAAUCGAUCAUACUCCAAUAAAAAAUAUAGUAAAAACCCUAGUCGUCAAACAUAUCUUUCUCCCUAUUAUUCUACUUUAAGAAAACCUCAAUCAAGGAGAAUGACUGAAUCUCUUGAUAAAGAAAACAAAAAACCUAAAAAAACUAUAGAAACCAAACCAAAGUUUAAACUUGACAUGAAAUCGAAUGCUAAUAACUAUAAAAAGUCGUUUAAACCAAUAAAUGAUUUGACCAAGAUUGAGGUUUCAAAUUCAUCUAACAAAGCACCGGAUAAGAAAAAGAAUGUAAAAUUCGUUAAACCAAAUACUCACUCCAAUCAAAGAAUAAAUAACAGAGGAAAAAUUUCAGAACGAUCAAAAAUGAAAGAUCAAAAUAAUUCACCAAGCGAUGAAGAUAGUAAAGUUGAAGAAAACAACGAGAGCACUGAAAAUACGAAAACAGCUGAUUCUAGACAAUUAACCCCUGAGCUGAAACAGGAUAUAGCACAAGGUCAUGAUCCUACUCCAGUUCAAUCAGCAUCUACUCUCAGAGGAGAGCUUAACACAAAUGAAACAAAGGUAGAGUCCAUACCUUAUAUAUCAGAGACAUCAUCUGCAAGUCCAGCGUCAAACGUUAUCCAGAAUGAGUCGCCACCUACGAAUGAACAACAGCAGAAGAAUGAGGAAAUAGAUCCAAAUCAACUUGAUAGAAAUGCCACUGAAGCAAAUAACCUAAGCUACAGCGAUCCUAAGGAAGGAUCGGCUAAAUCUAAAAGGGAGAAUUCAGAAGAAAAGUCCGAACAGGAAAAUAAUUCGGAGAAUACUGCAAGUGAAGGAAACAGUUUGUUUAAUUCAAAAAGUCCUAAAGGAGAGAAUAAGAUACCUGAGACUGAAAAGAGUAGUAAUCAGAAUCCUAAUCCUGAUACAACAGACCAAUCCGUCACUCAAGCUGAAGCAGAUAAUGAGGAAAAGUCAACACCUACUGAAGAGUAUACAAACACAAAUGACGAAAAGUUUGAAAAAGAAGUUUUAAGACCCACUUCUUCCCACUCUAAAGAUCAAGAGUCUUAUAAAGAGCAACCAAUAAUCGCUGAUAAAACUGGUGAACCAUUUGAACGUCAAUCUAACAAGCUUUCACUAAAGGAGCCAAUUGAGAAACCUGAUGAAUAUCCUGAAAGUCAAGAAACAGACGACCUUAAAAAGAAAGACUUGAAAUCAGCUGCUAUAAAACCUAAGAAGGAGAAAAAAAAUAUAAGCUCUGCUGAUAGUAGGAAACCCAAAAAGAAUUCUGAAAAAGUUAAAAAAGAAGAAAAAAGCCCAACUAAGCUUCCAGAUAAGAAACAAAACGAAACAAAGGGUCUAACUAAAAAUAUGAACGCUCAUGAUCCCAAACCAUCGCUAUCUUCCAAAGAAAAACACAAAUUCCAGAAACCAGCAAAUAGUUCUCACCAAGAAAGAACUAAAGAUUCUAAGUUAAAAAAAUUACCUUCUAGAGAAAACACUAAAGAACCCAUAAUUCUUCCGAAAAAGGAUAUGGAUGGCGAUCGAGUCGAGCUUGAUUCUCUCGACUUAGGUUAUAGUGAUGAGGAAACAGAAGACAUAUUUGAGCGAGCGAAAAAGAAAUACGGAAUUCAAAUAGACAGUGAUGAUGACUAA
rnacentral:misc_RNA from 1 species